rnacentral:rRNA from 1 species
CCUACGGGAGGCAGCAGUGAGGAAUAUUGGUCAAUGGGCGAGAGCCUGAACCAGCCAAGUCGCGUGAGGGAGUACUGCCCUAUGGGUUGUAAACCUCUUUUGUCGGGGAGCAAAAGCCGGACGUGUCCGGCUGUGAGAGUACCCGAAGAAAAAGCAUCGGCUAACUCCGUUCCAGCAGCCGCGGUAAUACGGAGGAUGCGAGCGUUAUCCGGAUUUAUUGGGUUUAAAGGGUGCGCAGGCGGAUUUUUAAGUCAGCGGUAAAAUCGUGGGGCUCAACCCCAUCCAGCCGUUGAAACUGGGGAUCUAGAGUGUGCGAGAGGUAUGCGGAAGGCGUGGUGUAGCGGUGAAAUGCAUAGAUAUCACGCAGAACCCCGAUUGCGAAGGCAGCAUACCGGUGCACAACUGACGCUCAGGCACGAAAGCGUGGGUAUCGAACAGGAUUAGAUACCCUUGUAGUC